UACGGAGGGUGCAAGCGUUAAUCGGAAUUACUGGGCGUAAAGCGCACGCAGGUGGCUGAGUCAGUCGAUUGUGAAAGCCCUGGGCUUAACCUGGGAAUUGCAGUCGAUACUACUCAGCUAGAGUAUGGGAGAGGGUAGUGGAAUUCCCGGUGUAGCGGUGAAAUGCGUAGAUAUCGGGAGGAACAUCAGUGGCGAAGGCGGGUCUCUGGGCCGUAACUGACGCUGAGGAGCGAAAGCAUGGGGAGCGAACAGG
rnacentral:rRNA from 1 species